rnacentral:rRNA from 1 species
GGGGGCGUGAGAGCGCGGCCCCCACACUGGCACUGAGAUACGGGCCAGACUUCUACGGAAGGCAGCAGUCGGGGAUAUUGCACAAUCGGCGAAAGCCGGAUGCAGCGACGCCGCGUGGGCGAUGAAGGCCUUCGGGUUGUAAAGCCCUUUUAUGGGGGAAGAGACAAGGACGGUACCCCAAGAAUAAGCGUCGGCUAACUACGUGCCAGCAGCCGCGGUAAAACGUAGGACGCAAGCGUUAUCCGGAUUUACUGGGCGUAAAGAGCGUUGAGGCGGUUCCGUAAGUUGGGCGUGAAAGCCCCGGGCUUAACCCGGGGAGGUCGUUCAAUACUGCGGGACUUUGAGGGCAGCCGAGGGAGGCGGAAUUCCCGGUGUAGCGGUGAAAUGCGUAGAUAUCGGGAGGAACACCAGUGGCGAAGGCGGCCUCCUGGGCUGUUUCUGACGCUGAAGGCGAAAGCUAGGGGAGCGAACGGGAUUAGAAACCCCGGUAGUCCUAGCCGUAAACGAUGGAUGCUGGGUUUGGGGGGUAUAGAUCCCCUCCGUGCCGAAGCUAACGCGUUAAGCAUCCCGCCUGGGGAUUACGGCCGCAAGGCUUAAACUCAAACGAAUUGACGGGGGCCCGCACAAGCAGCGGAGCGUGUGGUUUAAUUCGAUGCUACACGAAGAACCUUACCUGGGCUUGACAUGUAGGUAGUAGUGAAGCGAAAGCGGAACGACCCUUCGGGGAGCCUACACAGGUGCUGCAUGGCUGUCGUCAGUUCGUGCCGUGAGGUGUCGGGUUAAGUCCCGUAACGAACGCAACCCUUGCCCUUAGUUACAUGUGUCUAAGGGGACUGCCCGGGACAACUGGGAGGAAGGUGGGGAUGACGUCAAGUCAGCAUGGCCUUUAUGUCCAGGGCUACACACACGCUACAAUGGCCGGUACAAUGGGUCGCCAAGCCGUGAGGCGGAGCCAAUCCCCCAAAGCCGGUCUAAGUUCGGAUUGUGGGCUGCAACUCGCCCAUAUGAAGCUGGAGUUGCUAGUAACCGCGCGUCAGCAAUAGUGCGGUGAAUACGUUCCCGGGCCUUGUACACACCGCCCGUCACGUCAUGGAAGCUGGCAACACCUGAAGCCAGUGAGCUAACCCGCAAGGGGGCAGCUGUCGAAGGUGG